AGCAGCAGCUGCCGUCGGGGAGGUCUUAUCUCGGGCAAUAAAAACGAUAAGGUCGAUGACGACGACCUCACUACCACCACAGUCCAGUUAACGAUUCACAAUCACACAUAUCUUUCCGUUGUCAACAGAAGUAUUUAGCAAGCCGUACUCAUUGCACUAGUAAUAACUGUAAUUUUGUCAGUUACCGUUUUACUCGCGGUUUUAUUUCACGCAACGACUGUAAAAAUAAUUACUCAUCGGCAGCAUCCGCCGUGGUUCAGAUCUCUCUGCUACCCGCUUUCACCCCGUUUGCCGACGGACCCGCAUACGAUUGCGCGCCCACUUGAGCCCAGCUACUAGAACCACCCGCCCACGCACAAGCGCGAUUCGACCAUGUCUAUGGGAGAUAAAGUCACAAAUCUUUGGAAAAGGGCUAGCGAUGAAGGUGAAAAUAGAGAUGAAAUUCCUUGGCACUUAAAAUAUGGUAGUAGAACAUUAGGAACAUUUGCUGGCAUUGUUAAUUUAUUCACUGGUAUUUGGAAUGGACUCGGAUUAAUUUUUUUAAACACAGAUUGUUUAUUUGGUGGAAUUUUACAACUACUUCUCGGUAUUUUACUAAUUGCGUUAGAAGCACCUUUUCUAUGUGUGUUUAUUGAUUAUAUGCAGAAAGUCAGUGAUGUCGCUGAAAAUAAACCCUAUUGGACUAGAGCUAUUGUAUAUGCUGGGCUAUCCUUAGUACCAUUGCUUUUAUGUUUUGGUCCAAGUACAUUAAUAGCCAGCGCUUUAGUAUUUUGUACUGGUUUAUUGUAUGGUCUCAUGUCAGUUGGAAAAAAAGGAUCUAGGGAAGACAUGGGAGCUAUUGCUUCUCCCGUUGAUAACGUCUCUCAACCCAUGGGCGGACAUCACACAACUUUAAUGGAAGAUCCAGAUGUGUGGCGUCCCACUUAAGGCAAACUGAACUAAAUUUUUAAAGUGUAUUAUUGUUGCUUAUUUUACUGGUAGUUCAUCCGCUCCAAUCAUUCCAUAUAAAUAGGAUUUUGGGCACCAGCAGAACAAAUGAAAACUACAGCAUCCACAUUAGAGCCAUGAAACAUAUACAACAUUAGUGGAAAAUAUACACAUAUAUAUAGAUGUAUACAACUGUAUAUCACAACCUUAGAAUUCACUAAAACCAAUUUAAAUUAAUUUAUUGGUUCUCAAGUGAUUUUAUUGAAAUCACUAUCCACAUGCAUUCCAAUAUACCAUGGUCUCCUAACUGAUGAUACUCAUUUAUCUAUGGUAAUGAAGUUCAACAAAAUUAUUAAAUUGAUUCAAUAUAUAUAUAUAAAUAUAUCUAUAUAUAUAUAUCUAUAGAUGUAUUGAUGUCCAUUAAUAGUAUUCCUCUACAUUUCAUCCCAUUCAAUUGUAUAAUAGAUUUUCACAUAUAUAUCUAAAAAACCUUAAAUAAGAUUAUCUUAAUAUUUAUUCUAAUUUUACAAUAUAAUCUUGUUGCAUGCCAUUAAUAUACAUAAAUUUAGUUGUCAUGAUUUAAAACAAUUUUUAAUAGGAUAUUGAAAUUUUUACUGCUAAAAUAUAAAUAUAACAUUAACCAAGUGACUGCAGAAUCUCUAUUGAAUCAUUUUUAUGAUAAUUAUAUCCAAUAUUAAUAAUUUGUAAUUCUAAAAUUAUUUACCUAGUUGAAUAAGUUUUAGGUUACUUAUAAAGUAACUUAAACUACUUUUAAAUAUUUUGUUUAUUUAUUAUUACCAUUUUUCUUUAAGUAUUUAAUUUAUGUGAAUUAUCCCAAAGAACACGCUCGCACUGUAAUAACUCAUUUUAAUGUUCCUGUUAUUGAUAAAUAAUAUUUAUCGUACAAUAUAAACAAGUUUAUGUACUAUGGACAUCUUAAAUAUCUUUUUAUUUAAUUAUUUAUUAAUGUCAUCUAAUUUAAAUUAUUUUAUCAAGUAAUAAUUAAACAUAAAAAAAAAAAAAUUAAAAACUACCCUUUGUUUUAAACGAUAUUAUUAAAAAUAAUAAUAAUUUUUCAAGUAACAAAAUUAUUUUCAUAAAAUUAAUUAAUUAAAUAAAAUACAAAUAUGUUCAUAAUUUCAUUACUGUUUUUCUAACUUAAAUUAUUAAAGUGUAACAUAAAUUAUGAAAAUGUAAUGUUUCAUAUUAUCGUUAUUUACAUUUAAAAUGUAUUUAUAAAUAAAUUAUUUAAAAUAAAGAAAUGUGUUUAAAUACAAUUAUAUAUUAUUAGGUAUUACAGAUAUGAGAUAAUAUGUAAAAUCCAUGUAUAUUUUACUAAGAAUUAAUUUAUUCAUUCAAUAUUAAACAAAAUGGACUUAAUGUGUUUAACUGCAGUCAGUGAAUGGUGCUGCGGUUAUGCACUAUCCGAUAUUGCUUGCUCUUGGAUAGAUGACCACCCAAAUUCCUAGCAACAAAACUAUGUUUCAUAUAUGAGAAUACAUGUUUCAAAAAUUCUAACGUAUCAUACUUUACCUUAACAAAAUAUAUCUCUCAGCUUAUGGUUAUAGUUGCUAAAAUUUAAUUAAAAAUAUAUAUAUGUAUUAUGAAUGUAUUAAUUAUUUAUUGGUAACAUUUUCUGAUGAGCAAAAGUAAAAUUAAAUUCCUUAUACUUUAACAUAAUUUUUUAAUUAUCUGACAGUUUAUAUCAUAUCUUUAAUACCUAUGAGUAAAAAUAAUAAGUAUAUUUUCACUACAUAAACUAUACAAAUGUUUGUUAUCAUUUACUUAUUUCUAAAAUGUCAGUAGUUGAUUUAAAAAUGAAUAAAAAAUGAAUUGUACUUAUCAUUUCCUAACUGUUAAUAAUAUCAAUUAUGCGAGUACAAAUAUAUAGAGAAUUUGGGUUUUUUCCUUAAAAAAAAUAUACUAUAAUAUGUAAGUUAAUUAAUAUAAUUACUGUAAUAAUAUCUUUAAAUUUUAAAAACUAUAUGGAAGCUUUUUAACUCCUUUUUUUUUAUAGAAUUAUUGUUAUUUUUAAUAAACCAUAUUAAUUGAAUUUAGCCUUUAGAAAAUAACUGUUUUCAUGAAAUAUAGGCAAAAACUUAUUAUAUAUUAAUUAAUUUGACUUUUGAAUACUAAGUCAUAGUUUAACAUUGAUUAUUAUUUAUAGUUUUAGUUUUAAGUUUAGACUAUUAACUAUUUUAAUAUUCAUUGUAAACAUAAUUGUUAUAAAUUGUUGUGUAAUUGGCAAAAAAAUAUGUUACCUACUAAAUUAAUACACAAUAGUAUAGUUUAUUAAGACUAUAAUAAUCCAUUACUAUUCGUGCAUACUUUACUACAUAUUUUAUGGAUUUUAUAACAAUAUGUUCAUCAGUAUUUAAACAAAAUAUUAACCAUUGUAUUAUUUAAUGUGACAUUUAAAAAAGUUAUUUAGAAAAUAAAUAAUUAGAAUUAUAUUUUAACUGUAUUCAAUUAAAAUAUACAUAAACUUGA